UGAUAAAGAAAAUCUUCACUUCUCUGGAGACAGGAAGUCUGAAUUCUACUCUGUGGCUGCCACUUACAAGUUCAUAGGAACUGAAAACAAGGACACCAUGUGAACUUGUGUGACCACUUUCAAUGCUGAGCCGUGGCAGAUGCUUUUGCUUCCUGAUAUCUCCUUCCAAAUAAACCACCUGCCUCCAAGUCUAAGUCCUUGUCUUAGGCUCUGCUAUUGGGAAGACUCUAACCAAGACACCAGCCUAAGCAGCAGGGUUCUUAAGUGGUACUCUAAUAAGGCCAGUACUUUUCUGUUUUGUUUCCACAUAACAUGCAAUAUGAUUUUCCUCCCAGCCUGUGCAUGCAUUUUCUCAUUGAUGGUUAGGUCCAGCCAAGGACAACUUGACUGACUUUUUUUUUUUUUUGUCAUUGUCUUAGAAUAUCUUCCCUCUAUUUACUAGGCAAGAUUUAUGUAAUUUUUGUAUUUGUCUCAUUUGUUGACAGGGAACCCUGAGCAGAACACAUGCACAAACUCAUGCCAUACCCUAAGGGACAAUAUUCCCCACAUCUACUUGGAAAUCUUUGGGAUGCUCAAUGGCAAGUACUAUAAGUUGCAAGAUUUCAAAAAUAUUCAGGAAGAAGAAAUUUGUGAGCCAAGUAGCUCCAAGUCAUUUGGCCUUCUGAGGUUAUGCUGUCCUUUCAAAUACAAAUUCAAUAAAUGAGCCCUUCCUCCACAAAUUCAAUAAGUGAUGCAGUUGGCUAAUACCCUUUCUCUUAUUUCCCUGAGUCAAUGAGUGAAAAGAAGUGGGUACAAGAUGCUCUUGGCUUAUAUAUUCUCCCAUUUGACAAACUUCCUAGUAUCCAUUUCCUAUAUCACUGUCUUUAGCUCUGGAGCUGUUAUCCUCCUGGUACCUGUCUCCUGCCUGUACCAAUUCAUUCCAAGCCAGAAAGGAGUACCUUUCCUUCAAAACCUCUGUAUCAUCAACUCAGGGCUGCUACAGAGAACUUACUUUACCUGAAGGCUUGGUCAUACAGCACAAAUAAGGAAACGACCUCAAAUAGAAUAAGUGAAUCACCUUUCCUAAGUUCAUCAGCCAUUUCUGCUCUAGGGGACUCAUAUUUUUUAUGCUUUUUUUUUUUUUUUGGCUCCUGGCCUGCUACUAUUUUUGUGGGUCUGCUCUCUCAUGCCACAGUCUUUUUUCCCUUUCCUUCAAGUCCUUAAAUUCACCUCCCACCCAUUUCAGACAAAACCUUUUUACAACACACAUUAUUACUGCAUGUGGAACUUACUGAUCAUUUGUUAAAUGGAACAAUUUAGCUAUUUAGCUUCCUUUGUGUCAACCUUCUCAUUCCAGACUCUGCCCUAGACAUUGUCUUUUGUAACAAAAAGUCCCAAUAAAAUGUUCUCUCAAACAAACUGCCGGUUGGCAAUGCACAUUUAACAAUCCAAGAAUUGGCAGAAACUUUGAAAAUCACAGCUCUUCUUUAACUGUUUAAAGACAAAAUUCUUAGGUGGUCUCGAGGUUGAAGCAUUACUCAUGACUGCUCUGUCAGGGGCUUUGUUAGAGGAAGCAGGAUGGUGGCAGAGUUCUCUACCCCUUCUCGGGAUAUAAAAUCUGCGGGUCAGAGUGGCCCCACCUGCCUCCCUCUCCUCCACAGUCAAACACAGCCUAGACUGCCUGAUUUGGGGUGCAGUCCUACUGACAACUCCACUUUAUGUCUCUGGUGGAUUUCUCAGGUUUGCAUCAUGGUCAGGGACCAGAAUAAAAGAAAGUGAACUAGGAAAUUUUUAGGGUCAGAAAAGCAGUUUUAAACUCAUACACACUUUUUAUCAAAAUCUUUUUUUUGAGACAGAGUCUCACUCGUCGCCCAGGCGGGACUGCAAGUGGCACAAUCUUGGCUCACUGCAACCUCUGCCUCCUGGGUUCAAGUGAUUCUCCUGCCUCAGCCUCCUGAGUAGCUGGAACUACAGGCAUGUGUCACCACACCUGGCUAAUUUUUGUAUUUUGAGUAGAGACGGGGUUUCACCAUGUUGGCCAGGCUGAUCUCGAACUCCUGACCUCAAGUGAUCCACCCGCCUCAGCCUCCCAAAGUGCUGGGAUUACAGGCAUGAGCCAUCGUGCCCGGCCAAAAUCUGUUUUCUUGAGUUGGGCUUAAGGUGUGGCACUGACUGCUGUUGGACUGCUGCAUCACGAGGCUAAUAGAGGUUUUCUAAAAUUCAGCAAGCCAGGCUCUAGCUUCUGAGGAUGUGUGGGGUGGAAAAUGCAGGGAGCUAGUAUUGCUGAGAUCUUCAGAUUCUUUCUCUGAAUACUUUUCCUAGACCCAAUCUCUUUCUCCCUCCUUUCUGGGACUAAUCAGUGACACAGAUAUUAGAUAUUUUGUGAUUGUCCCAUAGGUCCCUGAGGCUCUGUUCAGUUCUUUUCCCAGUCAAUUUGCUCUUUGUUGUUCAAAUUGGAAAAGUUCUAUUCUACAACUUCACCCAUUCUUUUUUCCUCUCCAUUCUGCUGUCGAGACUAUCCAUUAAUUUUUUUUAAGGUAUAGUAUUUUUCAAUUCUGAAAUUUCCAUUUGGGUCUUCUUUAUAUCUUCUGUCUCUUCACUGAGACUUUCUGUUUUUCGUUUGUCUCAAACACAUUCAUAAGUGUUUAUUGAAGCUUUUUUAUAAUUGCUGUUUUAAAAUUAUUGUUAGAUAUUUCUGGCCUUUGUGUCAUUUUGGUGUUGGUGUUUGCUGAUUAUCUUUUCUCAUUUAUGUGGAGAUUUUCCCAGUUCCUAGUAUGAUAAGUGAUUUUUGAUAGAAACCUGGACAUUUAAGGUAUUAUGAGACUCUGGAUCUUAUUUAUCUGGUAUAACAGUCUUCUUCUGGUAAUGCUUUGGUGGGUGAAAGGGGCACUGUCUCCUUAUUUCCAGGUGGGGCUACAAGUAUUGAAGUCGCAGUUCCCAAGUCAGCCUCUGUUGACUCCUGAAGAUAGGCAAUUCUUAUUACUGCUGAAUGGGCAGGAGACUUCAGGCUUUUCCCUGGCUCUCUGUGACAUCACCCUGGCAUGGAGAGGCAGGAGUGGCUCCACUGUCACUAUGAGACAAGGAUGUCCUUUUUACCAUGGAGCUUGUUCUAAGUUUCCUCUAGACUUCCUCUGUUGAUAAGCUAGUGGGGACUGGAGGAGUGAGGCUGGAAGUCCAGCCUCCCUGCCAACACCUCAGGGAUGAAGAUUCCCCUCUGGAGUCCGGAGUUUGACUUCAGAAUCUAGAGAACCUCAUCAUUGCAUCAUACAGCACACACGGAAUAAGAUGAAGGCAACAAAGAUCCCAUCUUCCAGCUGUUUGGGAAGAAUCACAGGAGAAAAACAAGGAGAGAAAAAUCUAAACCCAAUAGAAGAGAAAGUUUCAAGAAAGAGGUCGUCGCUAAUACCAAAAUUAGCUAUGAUAUUCAGGAAGAAAAAAAGGGAAACACGAUAACCACAUUCAAUAAAGACCAAGGCCAGCUUCCAUUAGCCAGAGCUCAGCCACGCGCCACACCUGGUUAAAGAGACUCUGGCUGAAGAAUUCCCUGAAUAUUUUAAUGUAGCUCUGGUUAUAACACAGAAUAACCACAAGGUGGCAGAAGAACUCCAUUCUUGUAAAUCUCUUAGUUGCUUCUUUAUUUCAUCUUCUCUAUUCUAUCUAAUGUUCCUUGAAUUUUACUAUUUUGUUGGUUUGAAAAUAUGUGUGACUUACAUCCUUUAAAGGAUUUGGUUCCUAAAGUUUUAAAUAGACUGGAAUAUAAAACAUUUAUAGAAAAGGAAAAUAACUACAGUAUGAUGUUAGUGAACUAUUAAUAAUCCAAUUAAAAUAUAUUUGCUUUGGAUUAAUAUUUAUUUUGUUUUGAUGUUUGCUAAAUAAAACUAAGCAUUAGGAGGUCAAAUAGCCACAACGAACAUUUUCAUAUUAUUUAAUAAGCCAGUUUCAAGGCAUACAUGCUAAAUUUGUUCUUAAGGAAACGUUGAAUUUUUGCUUUCAUGAAAUUACAAACUCUAAGGCAAUUGUAUACCUGUAAAUCCAAUGUGUUCUGAAGUUUAAAGUGUCAAAGGCUGUUGGAUUUAAACAGAUCUUGUAUGACUCUCUGUUUCAUCUUUUCAGAGGUUGAUAGUAAGCAAGUUUGGCAGCAACUCGCAUCUUCUGCUGUAACAUGAGGCUAAUAAUGACGACUUUAUAUGGUUGUUGCAAAGAGUCAGUGAUGCCACAAGCAACGUUCUUUAUAUAUGCAGAAUUUAAAAAAUAAAUAGAAAUAUUCCUUCCUCUAUUCCCAAGUUUUCUAACGUUAUUUGCAACUGGUGUUUUAAUGCAAGACCGAAAGCUAAAAUAUAAAUGUAGCUAGCAGAAUCAAAACCUAGAUCAGAUGUUCAAAAGCAUCAUGCUGCUAAAAGAUUUCAGAGUCUAAAACCUGUGCUCACUGUUCUGAAACAUCUUUCCACUUCCUGUUAAAAAAAUAUUCUUUGAAGCUCAUUUUUUGGGCUUCAUGUGUUGUAAUUACACAUUUGUUAUAUAGGGUAUAUGAUGACUUACGCUCUAUGGUGUUAUUCAGUACAUUGUAGGAAAAGGAGAAUAAAGAAUAUUGUUUGUCA